rnacentral:rRNA from 1 species
ACUCCUACGGGAGGCAGCAGUGGGGAAUCUUGGACAAUGGGCGCAAGCCUGAUCCAGCCAUGCCGCGUGAGUGAUGAAGGCCUUAGGGUCGUAAAGCUCUUUCGCCAGGGAUGAUAAUGACAGUACCUGGUAAAGAAACCCCGGCUAACUCCGUGCCAGCAGCCGCGGUAAUACGGAGGGGUUAGCGUUGUUCGGAAUUACUGGGGCGUAAAGCGCGCGUAGGCGGGGUUGUUAAGUUAGAGGUGAAAUCCCGGGGCUCAACCCCGGAACUGCCUUUAAUACUGGCAACCUAGAGUUCGAGAGAGGUGAGUGGAAUUCCGAGUGUAGAGGUGAAAUUCGUAGAUAUUCGGAGGAACACCAGUGGCGAAGGCGGCUCACUGGCUCGAUACUGACGCUGAGGUGCGAAAGUGUGGGGAGCAAACAGGAUUAGAUACCCUGGUAGGAUAGCG